rnacentral:rRNA from 1 species
GAUGAACGCUAGCGGCAGGCUUAAUACAUGCAAGUCGAGGGGCAGCAUGACUGUAGCAAUACAGUUGAUGGCGACCGGCAAACGGGUGCGGAACACGUACAGAACCUUCCUUCGAGCGGGGAAUAGCCCAGAGAAAUUUGGAUUAAUACCCCAUAGCAUAACGGAGUGGCAUCACUUUGUUAUUAAAGAUUUAUCACUUGAAGAUGGCUGUGCGGCUGAUUAGGUAGUUGGCGGGGUAACGGCCCACCAAGCCUGCGAUCAGUAACGGGUGUGGGAGCACGACCAGUCACACGGGCACUGAGACACGGGCCCGACUCCUACGGGAGGCAGCAGUAAGGAAUAUUGGUCAAUGGACGAAAGUCUGAACCAGCCGUGCCGCGUGGAGGAUGAAGGUCCUCUGGAUUGUAAACUUCUUUUAUAUGGGACGAAAAAAGGCCUUUCUAGGUCGUCUGACGGUACCAUAUGAAUAAGCACCGGCUAACUCCGUGCCAGCCGCCGCUGUAAUAC